rnacentral:rRNA from 1 species
AUUGAACGCUGGCGGCGGCCUAACACAUGCAAGUCGAGCGGGGUUUUCGGACCUAGCGGCGGACGGGUGAGUAAUGCGUAGGAAGCUACCCGAUAGAGGGGGAUACCAGUUGGAAACGACUGUUAAUACUGCAUAAUGUCUACGGACCAAAGUGUGGGACCUUCGGGCCACAUGCUAUCGGAUGCGCCUACGUGGGAUUAGCUAGUUGGUGGGGUAAUGGCUCACCAAGGCGACGAUCCCUAGCUGGUUUGAGAGGAUGAUCAGCCACACUGGAACUGAGACACGGUCCAGACUCCUACGGGAGGCAGCAGUGGGGAAUAUUGGACAAUGGGCGCAAGCCUGAUCCAGCCAUGCCGCGUGUGUGAAGAAGGCCUUCGGGUUGUAAAGCACUUUCAGUAGGGAGGAAGGGUGUUGUGUUAAUAGCACAGCAUUUUGACGUUACCUACAGAAGAAGCACCGGCUAACUCUGUGCCAGCAGCCGCCGUAAUAC